GGAGAGGUGGCAGAGUGGACGAAUGCACUGGUCUUGAAAACCAGCGUACAUGCAAGUGUACCGUGGGUUCGAAUCCCACCCUCUCCG
rnacentral:tRNA from 1 species